rnacentral:rRNA from 1 species
CUGAAGACUUUGCCGGAUUAGCUGAGAGGUGGUGCAUGGCCGUCGUCAGUUCGUACUGUGAAGCAUCCUGUUAAGUCAGGCAACGAGCGAGACCCACGCCCACAGUUGCCAGCGUACUCUCUGGAGUGACGGGUACACUGUGGGGACCGCCGCUGCUAAAGCGGAGGAAGGAAUGGGCAACGGUAGGUCAGUAUGCCCCGAAUAUCCCGGGCUACACGCGAGCUACAAUGGUUGGUACAAUGGGUAUCUACCCCGAAAGGGGACGGGAAUCUCCUAAAACCAAUCUUAGUUCGGAUUGAGGGCUGCAACUCGCCCUCAUGAAGCUGGAAUCCGUAGUAAUCGCGUUUCAACAGAACGCGGUGAAUACGUCCCUGCUCUUU